CCUAGCCGCCUGCAGCUGCAGCCGCCUCCUCUCCUCUUCCUCGUUCUCCUGCCGCCGCCGCCUCCUCCUCUCCUCUCCCCGAAUUCUCCUACCUCAGUCGUCGUUGUCGCCGCCGCCGCCGUCGACCUAGACGUCACCGGCUGAGACCGCUGUGGUAUGGAUAAGGAGACGAGAGGAAGAGGACAUCCUUCCCUGACAGCGCCCCGACCUGCCAGGUCUUCCUCCUCGUCGGCCUAGGUCUGGUUCUGCUGGAUUAGAUGGACAGAAGUGGUGGAUCCGAUGGUUGCCGGAAUCCCUCAUCGUCGGAGGAAGGCGUGCGACCGGCAAAGAAAUAGGCUGAUGGAGCAGGAUGGGGUGGCGGUUCAAGUUCGGCGGCCUUCGCGUGUUGUGGUUGGCGGCGCUCCACUUCCCUUCUCCCCUGCCCAGGUGAGUCGUCCUUGAUCUAAAAUAUUUAAUCCCCACACUGAUUUUUUUAUUAUACAGUACGGUGGUCUGCAGAUUAUCCUUCAAAGGAGGCCACAAAGAGCAGCGAUGGCUUCUUGGUAAUCUGCAAUUGGCCACAAAGGAUGAGGUACAUGGAGAUUGCCAGCUACCUUCCAUUGGUGUAUAUGCAAGCUACAGAGAAAACCAAAUAUGCACCAUGCCGAUAUGCUUCAUGACGAGUGUGCUUUUGUCAUCCCUCACCCUCUCAGAUGGCCAUUAGGUGCUAACCAAGAGGUGCACGCCAUGAAUCAAACUACCGAGGGGGCAUACAGUAAUAAGGAGGGAGUGGCUAUCGCAGCGAAGCUACCCUCCCCCUCAAUCAUGCACUGCUUUUCAAACGCAGUUUGCCACUGCUGUUUAAUUAGCUUCUGCAUUAGCAGCGGAUUCAGAGUUUAUUCUUCAGCGGAUUCAAUUUGCGGGAGACUCCUGUUGCAGUUUGGUGACAUAGAUCAGUGUCAAGUCGCUUAACAAAUGCAGCUAGGUUCCAUUCAGUUAGCCAAAGCCAUUGUGCAUUAAAAUUGUAGAUGUGCAUGAGAGUGUGGAAAUCAUUAUGGCACGUCUAUGAGCAUGCUAUACUCCCAUGCUACUUUCAGUUAUUGACCACUAGCUUUAUUACAGCACCCAGGAUUUCAGGGUUUGCUUUACUUAGGUUAGUAUGUACUCUACCACAGAUGAAUUGGUUAUAUCUCAUUUUAAUAUACUUCAUUAGUAAUUACUAAAUAAUCUAAAGCGAGUUCUAUGGCAAAUUUUGUUUGGGUCUACUUUUUUGGAUCAUUUCCAUAUCUACAUUUCUUACAUAUAAAGGUAUGCUGCAAAAAUUAAGGGUCUGGAUGGUAAUUUAUGGCUGUUUCAGUUGCUGACCAUGUGAUUAUGGUAGUCUACAAUUUGCUUAUGGGUUCUUCAUUGCUUGAUUUUUAUCUCGGACAAAAGAGGGCCAGCCACACCUUUGAAAUAAGCAGCGGCCAUCCAGUCCAGAACAGACUGAAUCUGCUCGACAAAGUGUGAAAAUGCAAUUACUGCUUGGAAAAGUGUAAAAAAGGCCAGGGUAUCAUUUAUGUAGUUAUUUGGAAUGCAAGGUUAGGAAAUCCAAGAAAUAAGAUGAGAAGAGGAAUCUAGCAAAGGAAGGUGAAUCUUUUCUCUUGUGAAUACAACAAGAUUAUUGAAGAUUUUUGCUGCCAUGGAAUUGUGAGUUUGUGACUAUACAUUCUUGUGUCUUGAAGAUGUAUUGUCUCUGUAUGUGAAUGUCAAUAUCCAGGUAUGUAAGCAAGUCCUAACUUUUAUUCACAUAUUUAUCUAUGAAAUGCAUGCAAGCAAAUCACAUCUUACAGACAAAUGCCCCCUUAUAGGUAAAUGUGAUGAUUCAUAAAUUAACCAGUUGGAGAUAUGUAGAUAGUCAGGUGUACUGAUAACUGGAGUUUAGUGCUCAAAAUCCUUCUACCUUUUCUACUGACUGUAUUUUCGUGACGUCUUUAAGAGAAGAAUGAGUACUAUUAGUCAUUCUCUAUCAUGUAUAAUAGUACAAUACUGGAGAUGUGAAUGGAUAAUGUUCAUUUAGUAUAGUAUUAGUAGAUGAUGUUUUUUUUCUUCAGUCAACUCGUGUAUUUCCUGAUAUGUUCAGUCUAUUCCCAAAUUAGUUCGUAAAGUAGCCUUAACAAUUAUACAGUCUCUUUGUGUAUUAGUACUCUGUUUUCUUUGGUUUUGGUCAGCUGGAAGAAUCAGUUUGUCAUAACAUGUGAAAAUGAUUUUAUUUACUUACGCUGUUGCUUUUAUCAGUUAGCAAAGAUGUUUGUCAAAUGUAGUAAGUUAGGCAUCGCAGUGAAGCUUAGCAAAGGGACUUCUGGUGAGGCCUACAAGGCUGGAAGCACUGUAUGUAAGUUUCUUGGUAGAUAAUAAGCAGUGGCAGAUGAACCAAUAAGUUAUCUGUGCCCAUGCUUUAUUAGUCCAUGAUAUCAUACAGUUUGAAGUCAAAAAAUUCAUGAUAUGGGUGAUAUGGAAAAGUCAUUGCCUUCUUUGCUGGAACAUUCCCUGAUUGCCUGGACUUCUUGGGUCAAUCGCUGGACGCCACCCCCGUCUCCUGGACGUCAUGACGCCGCCGAUUUCCUUGACGCCGCGUGCCACCGAUCUUCUAUAACUCAAUUUCUCCAAUUUCUCUCGGCUGUGAGCUCAUAUAUAUUUUUGAGCUGUGAACUUAUUAUGUAAACUCAACACUUUGUUUUGUGACAAGUGAACUCAUUUCAUAUUCAUCUAUCAAUCAUGGUUGAAGUGUCUA